AAAAAAAACACAACUGAAACUCUAUAGAAAAGAGGCUAAAAAAAAAAAAAUUAAAGAACAUUUAAAAAAAAAUUCUUAAAAAAUUAUAGUCUGUGGAUAUAAUCUUACAAAACGGACUCAAAACUUCACAGCUUUAUCUACUAUCUAGAUCUAGAUCUAGUCUAUAGAAAUGUUAUAAUUUAGCCUUUGCAUUUGAGAUAUUAAUUAUUAAUUAAAUGUAUUAAAAAUGUUCUUAGCAUAAUGGUAUACUGCUGUAUUAAAAGUGCUUACACUUUUAACAAUACUAAUGAAUCGGUAAAAUAGUUAUAAAUAGAAUAUGGGAGCGCUCCACCCAAAAUUAAUCAUGUUGUAUUACUGAUUCCUAACAAUGUAUGCUCCCUAUAGAAAUUCAACAUGGCCGCCCCCUGUUUCUAGACGUUGUUAAGGCAACAUUUUAAUGGUUUAUAAUGUAUCAUUUACGGCUUUUAGACCCAGACUCAUGCAAUCAAAGGAUGGGUUGAUAUGGAUGUCUGAGUAAUACAUAGGCAAAUCCACCACUGCCAUAACCAUGACAACAACAACAAAUGCUGAAGCAGACCUCUUGCAGGUUAACCAUGUGGUCAAAGAAAGAUUUAAAGUUCUUAAAAAAAUUGGGGGCGGUGGAUUUGGUGAAAUUUAUGAAGCCACAGAUCUAGUCAGCCGUGAAAGUGUGGCUUUAAAGCUGGAGUCUGCUAGACAAGUCAAACAAGUUCUUAAAAUGGAAGUUGCCGUUUUAAAGAAGCUGCAAGGUAGAGACCAUGUAUGCCGGUUUAUUGGUUGUGGUCGUAACGAGAGAUAUAACUACGUGGUGAUGUCGCUGCAAGGAAAGAACUUGGCCGAACUGCGGCGAAGUCAGGCCCGUGGUUGUUUUUCUCUCAGCACAACCCUGAGACUUGCCUCACAGAUACUUCAUGCUAUAGAAGCCAUUCAUGAUGUUGGAUUUUUACACAGAGACAUAAAACCUUCAAACUUUGCUAUGGGAAGGCAUCCUAAUCAUCGAAAAGUGUACAUGUUAGACUUUGGUCUUGCGAGGCAAUAUACAACAGCCUCAGGUGAGGUAAGACAGCCACGGUCUGCAGCAGGCUUCAGAGGGACGGUUCGUUAUGCUUCAAUAAAUGCACACAAAAAUAAGGAAAUGGGGCGACAUGAUGAUCUUUGGUCCCUUUUUUACAUGGUUGUUGAGUUUGUCUCAGGCCAGCUGCCGUGGCGAAAAAUCAAAGAUAAAGAACAGGUUGGUGUAAUGAAGGAUAAAUAUGAUCACACCAAUUUGCUAAAGAAUUUACCAAGUGAGUUUCGAGCUUUUCUAGAGCACAUUCAGUCUCUGGACUAUUUUGAUCAACCUGACUACAACAUGCUUUCUAACCUGCUGGACCAGUGCAUCAGGCGUAAAAAUGUUCGCGACUCUGAUCCAUAUGAUUGGGAAAGGAGCAAUGUGGACACCUCUAUUACUAUAACAAAUACGUCUGCACUUCAUGCACUAAAACAAACAAAUGUUUUGAACAUGGGUCCAAUUACACCAGGACAUGGGGCCACAGAAGUUCUUGAUGAAAAUCUGAGCUACCAGGAUGGUGAAGAGCCAUUGAAAAAAGCAGAACUUAUUCCCCUCAAUGAGGUAGACAAUCGUUAUGUAGAGGAAGGUGUAGUGGUCCUGUCUCGGCCAGAUGCUGAUAUUCCUCCAGCCAAAUAUGAACAAGAUACAAAAACAAAAGAAAAAAAUAAAGACACUGAUAAGGGAAAGAGUCAAGAAAAAGGUGAACACAUAUACAAGAAAGGAAUUCAUGCAGAUGCCAUUUCAUCAAAAGAAAGUGGUAAUCGCAGUGGCACUGUCAAUUCUCAUUUAGUAAAGCAACAAGUUGUGAACAGCGUACGGGCUCCCAGUUCAGGGGCUAGUUUAGAAGGAGGAAGUCAUCAGGUCAGCUCUCUUAAGGUUGGAGAUAAAGAUGUCCCCUCUCCAGGUGACCGGCUGCCCCCACCUGGGCCAUCAGUUGUUUAUGGUUUGCCUACAUCAGGAAACCCAUCAGGUGGUUUAGCUGGCAGUAGGAGUAAAUUAGUGAGAUUGCAUGAGGGGCCUGAAAGCAGUGGAGUUGAUUAUGGUGGGAGUGAAAAGGCUGGUAGCAUUAGUAAUGUCAAUCCACCUUAUAUUGCAACUUUGGAAGCGGGGGAACCCAGUAAUGAAAAUGAAAACAUGCGAUUAGAAAGUCACCCUGACCUAGCCAGCCGGGCUGCCAUAACAUUUGCCCUUAUGCAAACUGAUGAUAAAACCCAUACUCAGUGUGAUGAUGCCGGAGAAGAGAAUGCCACUCGUGCUGCACCCUUUACUAUGGCCAGUCAGUGGGGUGCAUUUGGCUCGAGUGAUGAGGGAAGUGAUAAUGAAGACAGCGAAGAUGAUGGUGGAGGAGACAAAGGGAAGAAAUCAGCUCGGGCUAGAAGAUUAGCAAUGAUGAACACUUUAGCCGAUGAAGAUGAUCAUCAGCUGGAUAGUAUGGCUAGAAAUUCAUUAGUUCUUCUAGAUGAGAGAGAUGGUCAUGAAACUUUAAGAACAUCCUUAGUAUUUGAAGAUGAUAACACAGACAUGAUGAAGAUGAUGCAGUCUAGUGGUAGUAGAGGUGAGGAUGCUCUUGAAGAUGGUCCAGAUAUAACAGGCAGACAUUCAGAACCCAUUCAUCAACAUACUCACACUCAAUCACAAGAUAAAUCUUUCAGUUCUAGUCCACGUAAAAUGCCAGAAAAACUUGCCAAAGAUAUAGAUAACAGAAUAGGAUCACCUUUAAAACAGAAUACCUCUGGGAGCCCAUCAAAGUUUGUGUUUAAAAAUCGUGAUUCUGGUGAAGAAAAAAGGAAUCGCAAGCUUGUUGCACUCGGUAAGCCUCCAAUCCAUUCUUCCAGUAAAAGAGACAAAAGCUUAGACAUGGCUGUCUCAGGGAUGAGUGAGGGGCCAAAAUCUUUAGGAACCACUCACUUCAUCUCUAGAGAUUUGAACAUGCCAGUUUCCAAACCCAAGUCUAUUCUUAAAGACAAGAACACAGUGAUGAGUGAACGCAAUUCUAAUGUAGAUAAUCGCUUUAGCACAGACUCGUCUAUGUUGCCUCCAGACAGUAAUAGUGAUUUAAGAGUUGUGGUCACAAUGAAAGAUGAACCAAAUGCUGUUACACCACGGGAACAAAGUCCACGGCGUCCUCAAAGCUCUCGCCAUUCAUCUAGCAAGUCUAGAGAAAGUGAGUCUUAUGGGGGUCAGCAUUUACGGAGAUUCUCCAGGCAAGCUGUGUCUUCUACAUCCAGAGGAUUUGCUGAAUCUAGAUCUCUUGUCACACCAGAAUCAGACAGUGGUCCUGUACCCAAGCCCCCACCUGGCCAUGCUCCAAAAAAUGCUGUGGUGACUGCUAGGCGCCGUCGUUACAAAUUGGCGUCGAGCAGCGUGAGUCCGCGCGAGGCCAACAGCCCCUAGCAUAGUCCACCAGAGCUCCCUGUUGUUUGUUAGCUACACGUCUUUCUCUUCUCAUGAUCUUCACGUUUAGCAUCCAUUUUUACAUGCACUAAAUCAUUGGAACAACUUUUUACCAGUUUAGACAGGCAGUAAAGAGCUCUAAACGCACCAAUUGACUUUGAGUCAGUACCAUCUUCCACUAGUGCAGAUAUCCAACUUUUUUAGAGACAUCCAGUUCCAGUGAGUCCAUCAGCUGGUUGUUGAUACAAUGCAUGCAUUUGAAAGAUCUGAUGUAUCUGUUUAAGAUUUGCUCCAAAAAAUGAUAUUACCAUGGUUUUAUUUAUUGUCAUGUAUUAGAACAUUGCUUAAAUUAACAGAUAAAAAUAGAUUUCUUUUUUUUUUACAACUAGAGUACAGAUUAAAAAAGAUCAUGUGAACACAUUAAAAAAGAUCAUGCACUAUUUUAUCAUCUUUUAUUCUUUGUGAUUGGAUUAAAUUUGCAACAUUAAUGGAGGUUUUCACUGUACAUUUUGUGCCUAAGUUUUCCAAGACUUUCUUAAUAGCAGUUUUUACUGUGGAAGGUAAAAGGUAUUUUUUAUUUAAUAUCUGAAUCACAGUUUUUAAAAGAUGUCGAGUUUCUUGUAAAACCUGUAGGGUUUCAUUUUCGUUUUAAAAAUACAUACAGUCCAACCUUGAUUGAAUUAGAUCCUUUACAUUGUAAUUCCAUAAAGACAAAAUCAUACUUGAUUUUCACAUGUCAUGCUGUCAAAUAUUCCUUGUAUAAAUUACAGAAAAUUAUUUUUGUUAGAAUGAAACAUUCAGUUUUGCUGUUGCAUAUUCCUGGUCCAAUAAUAACGAACAUAUAUUCUAAAGGAAAUAAUUUUCAUUUGCUAAAUGACUUUUCCAGCUGAUGAUGCUUAUACUGUUUGUCUCUUUUCUACUUGAUGUACAUUAUAUAUUCAAUUCCUUUGCUGAUUUGUUUAUUCAAACAAUUUGCUAGAAGCAUUUUGCCUGUGCAAUGACCAAUCUUAUGUAGUAAAGAAUCAAAUAGUACAGUGAAGAAAUCCAUCCAUUUAUACAAAAACAUUCAAGCAAAGUUUUUAACUUAUAUUUGACAAUCUUUCAAACUAUGAAAUAAAAGACUAAAAGUGCAAUAUAUGUACCUAUAAAUCCCAACUUUUGUGUCAGUUUAUUUUGCUAAAGUCCAAAGUUGAGUUCACUUUGAAUUAUAUAAUUUGUUGAAGUGAAUUUUUACAUUCUUAUUAUUAGCUUUUUUUCCACUUAUUUGAUUUUAAAUUUGUUUUUAUUGUUAUGACGUAUAUUUUGUUUACAGCGUUCAAAGUUUUAAUUAUUUACUUAUCUCUCUGCCCAGUAACCUAGAUAAGUUGUAAUAUGAGUUACUGCUUUCUCUUUCUGGGAACCUAGUAAAAAUGUGAUGUAUUUAUUUGAGCUUUCUACUCGGGACCAUACUAAUGUGACUUGCAAUAAUGUUCUAACUUAAGGUUGUAUACUGUAGAUUUUUGUUUUAAAAUGUGAACAGGUUUGCAGUAGUAUGUUUGAUGUGACUAGAACUUGUGUGUCUUGUCUAGCAAGGAAACAGCCACACUUUUCUAAGUUUAAUUAUAGUGGUAGAUGCUUGAAAGGUUUUAAACUGAAUUACAAUUUUUUUCAUAUUAUUAUGCAAUUGAUUGCCUACUUUUUACUUAAUAUAGAUGUAAUAAAUGUUUAGGGUAAUGCUGAGCCUGUUGCUUACUAUUAAUGACUGAAUUAACUGAAAGCAUUUAUUUGAGUGUUUUAAUUAUCAGUUGAACAUUUUAAAGUGCAUAAUGUUGUAUUAAGACCUCCUUCUAGCCAACUUGCAUUUAUGAUAUUUAUUUGUUGAAGAAUCCAUGCAAGAAAAUGUUUUGAAUGAUGAUAUCACUGUUCAACACAACUUUGGACAGUUUUAGUUAAGAGAAUCUCAUUUUUGUUUGUUAUACCAAUUUGUAUUUGCCAAGAUGAAGGUUAUCAGACAUUAGCAUUUCUGAGCAUAACCUCCAGCUGCCCAUCUGGAGUGAUGAUGCCGGUUUCUUUGAAAUAAUCAAAUGUCCAUUUUAAAAAACUGCUUGUUACUUGUAAUUUAAUUUUUAACAUUUCUGAGACUGAAAUAAUUCAUUAGCACUUCAUUCUUCGCUGUUGUUUAUAGCAAUAGCACACAAAUGUUGCUUACAAUCUCCUUUUAGAUGUAGUUGGUAAAGAUUAUUACUUUGUGCCAUAUAUGAUUUACCUUUUUUAGAAAUCAGCUUAACCAAUAGUAUUAUAUGUGCUCAACUAAGUGAAUGUUGCAAUAACAAUGAACAGACUAUUUCAGAAACACUCUUUUUGUCUUAAAAUGAUAAAAGAAAAAUAUGACCUUCAUUUUGGUCAUUCCUCAAUUACCAAGGCACUGGCCUAAAGAGAGAACAGAUGGUAAAGUUCUGUCAACACCCGCACCUUGCUUGUCUCAUUGAGUAGAUAGUGUUUGGCUCUAUAGGAGUUGGGCAGAUCUUGUUUGGCUCUAUAGGAGUUGGGCAGAUCAUGUUUGGCUCUAUAGGAGUUGGGCAGAUCAUGUUUGGCUCUAUAGGAGUUGGGCAGAUCAUGUUUGGCUCUAUAGGAGUUGGGCAGAUCAUGUUUGGCUCUAUAGGAGUUGGGCAGAUCAUGUUUGACUCUAUAGGAAUUGGGCAGAUCAUGUUUGGCUCUAUAGGAGUUGGGCAGAUCAUGUUUGGCUCUAUAGGAGUUGGGCAGAUCAUGUUUGGCUCUAUAGGAGUUGGGCAGACCAUGUAAUAACUUGAGAAAAAGCUCAUCUGUUUUCUUAAAUUUUAGACUUGGUUUAACUAGUCCUUUUAUAGUGUGGUUUAAUUGGAUUUACCUUUGACUUUGAGUGUAUUUUGACUGAGUCCCACCAAGUCUGCUGGCUUCCUGUAUUUAUACUAUGAUGAUCUCUAUUGAAUAUGUGCAUGUGAUGUGUGUCCAGUGAUUGGGUACUUUGUGUUUUAAAGCUUACUGUGAUUCAAUGUAUUUUGUUUUGGCAACAUGGGACAUUUCUUGUCUGAUCACUAGACCCUUUUAUAGUGACUUGAGUGUGAUUUUGCAAGUAAUUCCAUCCAUCUUGGAGAAAGGGCUGGGAGGUGCAUAUCUGCUUGUCUUUAUACAAGAAUAAAAAAUGAAGAAUGUUUGCCUA